CAGUGGAUAGGUUCAUAUCAAAACAAUACAAAGUGUUAUUUUGUAAACAUCAGCCUAUCAUUUGCAUCAUAACCAAAAAAUUGCAAUUUGUAUUGUUUUAAGUGUUCCUUGUUUGAUAUUAAUGUCUAUAUGAAUAUCAGGUAUUAUUCUAUAUUGGAAUUAUUUUAGUAGGUUUCUCUAUAUGAAUUGGAUUUUGAAUAAAAAAGCAUAUUCACCUGAGAAAGUGUUAUUGACCGCGCUAAACGUCACGCGCUUUUACAUGCAACGUUAUGGUAAAAUGUUUCGUGUAAAAAUUUGUUUUGGUAUAUUUUUGUCAUUAAGGAUGUACUUAGGUGAGGUUAGGUAAAAAUUCGGAAAUUAAUAAAAUUAAAAUUAAUACUAUAAGCUGGUAGAGCAUCAAUUAAGGAUAAAGAUAAGCUAAAAAUAUUGAUAGGUCAUGGACCUCCUUUUCGAGAUAUUUGAGAUUUAAAAUAUGGCGGGAAAAGGCUGACUCGGACUUUUACCUUAUAAUUGCAUUGGUAUUAUUUGGGUCUCAAAACAAAAGAAAGAAAAUAAAGAAUCUUCUAAAAUUUUGGUAAAUAACCUUUCAUGAGUAUUAAGUCUUAUAUGAAAAAAUAAAUUGGUGUUAUGGGGUAAAAUAUUUUACAUUGUAUUGGAUGGAAAAACACCAAGGAGUCCGAACAUUUGACACAAAUUCCAAAACCUCACCUAAGUACAUCCUUAAAUACAUUUUCUUUUCUCGGAAUAUGGAAUAAAACAAUUACUGUCUUUUGUUU
rnacentral:lncRNA from 1 species